rnacentral:rRNA from 1 species
AUCAGGGUAGUAGUGGGUGCAAUGUACCUACUAGCCUACGACGGGUACGGGUUGUGAGAGCAAGAGCCCGGAGAUGGAUUCUGAGACACGAAUCCAGGCCCUACGGGGUGCAGCAGGCGCGAAAACUUUACAAUGCGGGCAACCGUGAUAAGGGGAUCUCGAGUGCUAGCAUAUAAUGUUGGCUGUCCAGAUGCCUAAAAAGCAUCUGUUAGCAAGGGCCGGGCAAGACCGGUGCCAGCCGCCGCGGUAACACCGGCGGCCCGAGUGGUAACCGCUAUUAUUGGGUCUAAAGGGUCUGUAGCCGGCCAGAUAAGUCCCUUGGGAAAUCUGGCAGCUCAACUGUCAGGCUGCCAGGGGAUACUGUCUGGCUUGGGACCGGGAGAGGUGAGAGGUACCUCAGGGGUAGGGGUGAAAUCUUGUGAUCCUUGAGGGACCACCAGUGGCGAAGGCGUCUCACCAGAACGGGUCCGACGGUAAGGGACGAAAGCUAGGGGCACGAACCGGAUUAGAUACCCGGGUAGUCCUAGCCGUAAACGAUGCUCGCUAGGUGUCGGUCACGGUGCGACCGUGAUCGGUGCCGUAGGGAAGCCGUGAAGCGAGCCACCUGGGAAGUAUGGCCGCAAGGCUGAAAC